CACAGGUGCGCCCCGCUCGCUCCGCCUGUUCGUGGGACGUCAGAUUCUCGACAGAAAACUGCGGAAGCAAUGCGUGGAAAAACUAUUUUAGGCUAUCAGCGUUUCAUUCCACCUGUUGCGAUUUCUUUAUGACGAUUCCUCUUCCUGGUAAUCGAAGUAAAGCAACUGAGGAAAUUGAAGGAAGCAUGUGUAUCUGCCUCUGAAACACAAUGGGAACUCCCUGCCUCCUGUGGGACACCAGAGAACAAACUGCUCACUGCCAAAAGUGUAGCUACAAAAACGACAACAACAGAAUUGAGGUCAAUAGGGAUAAAGGCAUGGUAGCCCUGCUGAUCCUGCUAUAGCUUGAUAGAACAAGUAGAUGAACAGUAGUAGACUCUCAGGUGGAAUUGGAUUUGCGUCGCUGUGUGUAAUGGGGGAGUGUAUGUUGAACCGUUAUGGUGAAGAUGGUUUUCAGAGUUGUGAAGGCUUUGACGAUUGGUCCACGUUCAGCUCUGCGGACUGGACAGAGCCUCAGCAAGAUGGCAGUGGGUUUUCAGACUGGGGUGCAUUCCAGGACAAUACCAGCAAAGAGGAAUCAACAACACUACCUGUGGCAGAAGCAUGGACUUCCAAGUUUCCUGAAAACACUGAAAAUGGUGAAAAGGGGAAUCCCUGGUUCAUUUUUAAUGACUGCUUUCAGGUUGAGGGGGCAGAGAAAGACCCUGUCGUGAUGGAAAUCCUUACAUUGUGUGUGCUACAGCAGAGCACAUUAGACAAGCCCUCUCAGUAUGCAGCAAUAUCAAGCAAAGCUGCAAAUUUCUGGUGUCGUCUACAGUCUGGGUCCAAAAUUCUCAGACUAUCAGGUCCCAAACCCAAACUACACUCCCAUGAAGGACUGCUCAAAGCCCUCCAGCUCGGACAGCCUGACGCAAGCGCUGACUCACAGGUGAGUACAGGCUGA
rnacentral:lncRNA from 1 species